rnacentral:lncRNA from 1 species
ACAAUUCACAUAACACAUCUGUGUUUAAUUCGCAAAAUAAUUAAGACUUUUGCCUUAUCGUCUUCAUGGCUCGGGUGGAAACAGGUCAAGGAGUUCGGUAGGGACCCACGGUCUAACCUAUUUAAAGUCUAACUUGGUCCAGCUCAUUUAAUAAAAAGGUCAGGCUCAAGUUUUUUAUAAAGCCUAUUUAGUUAAAUAGGUAAGGUUAAGGCUUACAAAAAAGCCUAUUAAGUCCUUCAAGCUAGCCCCCCUCUUUGUACAGAUUUUGCUAUUUUUUAACAAUAUUAUUUUAUGGGAUCACCGAC